UACAGAGGUCCCAAGCGUUGUUCGGAUUCACUGGGCGUAAAGGGUGCGUAGGUGGCCGGGUAAGUCUGAUGUGAAAUCUCCGAGCUCAACUCGGAAAACUGCAUCGGAUACUAUCCGGCUAGAGGAAUGGAGGGGGAGACUGGGAAUGCUUGGUGUAGCAGUGAAAAUGCGUAGAUAUCAAGCGGAACACCAGUGGCGAAGGCGAGUCUCUGGACAUUUCCUGACGCUGAGGCACGAAAGCUAGGGGAGCAAACAGG
rnacentral:rRNA from 1 species